UACGUAGGGGGCAAGCGUUGUCCGGAUUUAUUGGGCGUAAAGCGCUCGCAGGUGGUCCGAUGCGUCGUGCGUGAAAGACCCCGGCUCAACUGGGGAGGGUCACGCGAUACUGAUCGACUCGAAGGCAGGAGAGGGAAGUGGAAUUCCCGGUGUAGUGGUGAAAUGCGUAGAUAUCGGGAGGAACACCAGUGGCGAAGGCGACUUCCUGGCCUGUUCUUGACGCUGAGGCGCGAAAAGCGUGGGGAGCAAACAGGG
rnacentral:rRNA from 1 species